UACGUAGGGUGCAAGCGUUGUCCGGAAUUAUUGGGCGUAAAGAGCUCGUAGGCGGUCUGUCGCGUCGGAUGUGAAAAUCCAGGGCUCAACCCUGGACCUGCAUUCGAUACGGGCAGACUAGAGUUCGGUAGGGGAGACUGGAAUUCCUGGUGUAGCGGUGAAAUGCGCAGAUAUCAGGAGGAACACCGGUGGCGAAGGCGGGUCUCUGGGCCAUUACUGACGCUGAGGAGCGAAAGCGUGGGGAGCGAACAGG
rnacentral:rRNA from 1 species